rnacentral:rRNA from 1 species
CCUACGGGAGGCAGCAGUGGGGAAUUUUGGACAAUGGGCGCAAGCCUGAUCCAGCCAUGCCGCGUGCAGGAUGAAGGCCUUCGGGUUGUAAACUGCUUUUGUACGGAACGAAAAGGUUUGGCCUAAUAAGCUGAGCUCAUGACGGUACCGUAAGAAUAAGCACCGGCUAACUACGUGCCAGCAGCCGCGGUAAUACGUAGGGUGCGAGCGUUAAUCGGAAUUACUGGGCGUAAAGCGUGCGCAGGCGGUUAUGUAAGACAGAUGUGAAAUCCCCGGGCUCAACCUGGGAACUGCAUUAGUGACUGCAUAGCUGGAGUACGGCAGAGGGGGAUGGAAUUCCGCGUGUAGCAGUGAAAUGCGUAGAUAUGCGGAGGAACACCGAUGGCGAAGGCAAUCCCCUGGGCCUGUACUGACGCUCAUGCACGAAAGCGUGGGGAGCAAACAGGAUUAGAUACCCUGGUAGUCCACGCCCUAAACGAUGUCAACUGGUUGUUGGGUCUUCACUGACUCAGUAACGAAGCUAACGCGUGAAGUUGACCGCCUGGGGAGUACGGCCGCAAGGUUGAAACUCAAAUGAAUUGACGG